AGCGAACGCUGGCGGCAGGCCUAACACAUGCAAGUCGAACGAACUCUUCGGAGUUAGUGGCGGACGGGUGAGUAACACGUGGGAACGUGCCUUUAGGUUCGGAAUAACUCAGGGAAACUUGUGCUAAUACCGAAUGUGCCCUUCGGGGGGAAAGAUUUAUCGCCUUUAGAGCGGCCCGCGUCUGAUUAGCUAGUUGGUGAGGUAAAGGCUCACCAAGGCGACGAUCAGUAGCUGGUCUGAGAGGAUGAUCAGCCACAUUGGGACUGAGACACGGCCCAAACUCCUACGGGAGGCAGCAGUGGGGAAUCUUGCGCAAUGGGCGAAAGCCUGACGCAGCCAUGCCGCGUGAAUGAUGAAGGUCUUAGGAUUGUAAAAUUCUUUCACCGGGGACGAUAAUGACGGUACCCGGAGAAGAAGCCCCGGCUAACUUCGUGCCAGCCGCCGCGGUAA
rnacentral:rRNA from 1 species